rnacentral:pre_miRNA from 1 species
ACCUCUCUAACAAGGUGCAGAGCUUAGCUGAUUGGUGAACAGUAAUUGAUUUCCUCUUUGUUCACAGUGGCUAAGUUCUGCACCUGAAGAGAAGGUG